rnacentral:rRNA from 1 species
AAGGAUCAUUAUUAAAGUCACAAGGGGGUCAUUAGACACCUCCGGGGGCGUGAUGGUCAAGUACUCCUAGGGUAGUUCCGGGAUUUACCCCAUCCGUCUUAUUUUAUACCCGAUGCGUAUCUAAAACGUUAAGCUUGCUUUGGCGGCUAUACCCGUCAAGGGGAACCUAAAACUCGAUAUAUUGGUGAUGUCAGAGUUAACCAUAAUAACUAAAACUUUCAACAACGGAUCUCUUGGUUCUGGCAUCGAUGAAGAACGCAGCGAAAUGCGAUAAGUAAUGUGAAUUGCAGAAUUCAGUGAAUCAUCGAAUCUUUGAACGCACAUUGCGCCUUCUGGAAAUUCCGGAAGGCAUACCUGUUCGAGCGUCAUUUAAACCCCUCAAGCUAGGCUUGAUGUUGGGUGUCGUCCCCUGGGCGUGCCUAAAAUACAGUGACGGUCCAGGUGAUUUUAAGCGCAUUAAAUAAUCUUUCGCUUUGAAAAUCAUCUGGCAUCGGGUUUUAAUCAUAAGAUUGACCUCGGAUCAGGUAGGGAUACCCGCUGAACUUAA